GUAGGUGGCAAGCGUUGUCCGGAAUUAUUGGGCGUAAAGCGCGCGCAGGCGGUCCUUUAAGUCUGAUGUGAAAGCCCACGGCUCAACCGUGGAGGGUCAUUGGAAACUGGGGGGCUUGAGUACAGAAGAGGAAAGCGGAAUUCCAAGUGUAGCGGUGAAAUGCGUAGAGAUUUGGAGGAACACCAGUGGCGAAGGCGGCUUUCUGGUCUGUAACUGACGCUGAGGCGCGAAAGCGUGGGGAGCAAACAGGGAUUAGAUACCCUGGUAGUCCACGCCGUAAACGAUGAGUGCUAAGUGUUAGGGGGUUUCCCGCCCCUUAGUGCUGCAGCUAACGCAUUAAGCACUCCGCCUGGGGAGUACGGCCGCAAGGCUG
rnacentral:rRNA from 1 species